AAGGAGGACUUGAUCUUGCAAUUCUUGGUCUGAUAACCAACAUGGAGGAAGCCCUUAUCCUAGAAGUGUAGGAAAAUCCAUUCCUGUAUGACAAGAGAUUGGAGCUGUUCAAGGAUACAGAAGUAAAAAAAUGAUGUAUGACAUGACAUUGGGCGUCAGCUUGUAAUCUCAGGUGACGUAGCGAGUUGAGGGACAACUUCCUAAAAAACGACAGAAAUGGAGAGGAAGAGUGGUGACGGAGCUCCCUCAAAUGCAGCACGUAAAUACAAGUACAGUGAGGCAAUGGAAUUCCUACUUCCCCACAUACAUAAUCGAGACAGAACAAGUUCAAUCUUGGAUCCUGUGUUUGAUGUGGACACACCAGGAGAAGCCUGUACCAAGCAGGAAGAAACUGAGCAGGAGAAUGGUGGGUGACAUCUGUCCACAACGUGGGUCAGUCUUCCUCGUCAUCAUCCUCAGGCACGUCCGCAACAUCAGUCCAGUCUUCAAGUCCCAACUUCACUUCAAAUCGAGGACACAAUGUUGCAGUAUUUUCAAAGCACUGAUAGUCAUGGUGACAACAUAACUGUAGAUAAAUUUUUCUCCAGCUUGUCCCCCAUUGUCCCACACUGUAAAAGUUACCUCAAUGCCAGCUCCAUUGCUAUGAGGUUAAAUUUCGGUCGUCUGAACAUUGAACAUACUACUAUAGGAAUUAAAGUUUUUGUGUCAUCUAACUCCAAGUCGAUUCUUAUUGAUGUUAUAAACAUCUCACAAUUUAAGAAUCCAAAUAUGUUUCGUAGAUUAAAAAAAAAGUUAACGGAAAAUGCUCUAACUUGCUAUGCUCCACCGCUAAAAAGAGAGCUGAUAUCUUAUUCCCUCUGACCAUGGAGCUAAUAGCUCUAUGCUCUGACAUCACUCAAUACUCUUUCGAUUGUAACAUAAAAGAUGCAAUGUCAGACAUGCAGCAUCACCAACAAAUUAAAAGCGGUGUAUAUAUGAUUACAUCUGAAUUACUUAUGAUAAAUCCAUAUGAAAUAAAUCAUUUGCAGGAAAUCUACAACUUUAAUGACUGAUAUCGUAUUAUAAACAACGACACCAUUAAAUGUGUUAUUCUAAUUUCCACUUGAAUUUUUCACUUUGACAUCUCCAUAGGCAGCGGAAGCGGGGACAGGUCCCCCCCCCCCUAAAUUUUUAGUUGAUAACCUUUUUUUUAUUUUUUGGCUUCCACCGCCAAUGUACAUCUCCCAUUGUUACAGUUGCAAGUCAGUCUCAAUUUGCAGAAAUUACGAUUGUGAAGGAUUAUGAUCUUCCUCUUUUGUAGAUCUGGAAAAUAUCGUCUGAGCAUGUUCACCAUUUAUUAAAAAUAUAUUUAUUUCUUAAAUUAUACUUGAAUUUAAAUUCAGGAUUUGUUCACAAAUAAGAGAAGUUGAGCAUUUUGCACAUCACAGAAAUUUGGUUCAUGCAAAUACAUGUAUUAACAUGAUCACUAGUAAUGCACUAUCAAAUAUCAAUACAUGAAACCAGUUACUGUGAAAAUAAAAAUGAUGGGUACUGGACGGAACGUUUCUGGACUAAUGUUUUAUUUUGGAAACAGAGAUAUAGGAUUGUUUGAAAUAUGACAAAAUGUUAGAAACAAAAUUUCAUCUCUAAACAGAAUGGCAAUGACACUCCUGUUGCCUGUUUCAUAGAGAGGUACAACUAUCAUAACUUUGUCUUUAAUAUGGCGCAACAUCCAAUUAUAAUUGUGGUUUCCAUGGUAGUUGCCAUAAUGUUAAAGUACUUUUGAAAUGGGCCCCUGGACAUGAAGAAUACUGACAAAAGAAAGUUGAUUGUGAAAUAAAAAGAAUACAUUCAUCUUCAAGAAA